UACGAAGGGGGCUAGCGUUGUUCGGAUUUACUGGGCGUAAAGCGCACGUAGGCGGAUCGUUAAGUCAGGGGUGAAAUCCUGGAGCUCAACUCCAGAACUGCCUUUGAUACUGGCAAUCUUGAGUCCGGAAGAGGUGAGUGGAACUCCUAGUGUAGAGGUGGAAUUCGUAGAUAUUAGGAAGAACACCAGUGGCGAAGGCGGCUCACUGGUCCGGUACUGACGCUGAGGUGCGAAAGCGUGGGGAGCAAACAGG
rnacentral:rRNA from 1 species